ACAACUCUGCUGCAUCUAUCUUUAAUCCAUUUAAAACUUUUUUCUAAAAGAACCUUUGUGUUUACCUUCAACAGAAUAAACUUUGUAACUAGCAACUUUUUUUUCCUCUGCAAUUCAGGAUCACUAAAGCUCCAUCUUUUUGAGGUUGAACUAUUUUUUAUUUUCCUUUCUUGAACUUAGCAUCGUUGUUCAUCUGGGUUUGUGUUGGAAGAACAGAGGAAGCAUAAGAGGCACUGUAGCGACGUAUAUCUUGCAUGCCAUAGACGUUACUAGCUCCAUUUCCAGGUGCAGAGUAAGUUUCAAUUUGAUUCCUUCCAGCACCGUACGAUUUGGAUAUGAAAUCUUACAUUCUUUGUUUUU
rnacentral:lncRNA from 1 species